rnacentral:lncRNA from 1 species
UAAUUGUUUAUUUAAUUUGUUAACUAGUCUCAGAUUUUAUUUGUUAGUUUUUUUAAGACCGCUAAAAUUUGCAGCCAUAUAAUGGUAUGGCAAUGUUGUCUUCGUCUGUAAAAAUUGGGUUUACAGUCAAUAACUUGAGAAUGAAAUUGUACCAAAAUGUUCCAUACCAAAAAAGGAAGAUUGGGUUUAUUUUAGGGAUAACUGCCCAAAGUGUUUAAGAUUGUACCACAAGAUUCAAUAACACAAAAGGAAGGUUGGAUUUAAAUGUUUUCAAAUGGGCCCAAUUUGGGUUCUAAAUAAAACUUUGAUUAAGUUCAAUAUACUACAUCUGAUAAUGUAUUUGAAUUUAGGAUUUUGAGACCAUUUAUUAAAUUUGGUCCAAAUCAGGGUUCAAAGGGUGUAAAAUUAAACCAUGUUUGAUUUUAACAAAAAUUGAAUGGAAGGGAUUUGUAUAUUACAUUUCUUUAUUAAUUUACCAGAUUUAACAAUAUUGAAAAUUGCAAUGAAUAUAAGGACUGAUUAUGAACAUGACACAAUGCAGAUUUCUGUUAGCAGCUUUAUAAUUAUAUCUAUUUAUAUCUGUAAGUCUCUUUUAUAGUAUGUUUUUAUUUAGGUUUUGCUAUUCCAUUGUAAGCUUGACAUAUCUUGUAGGAACAAUAGAUCUCAGAUAAACCUCUCCACUGUUAUUGUGCUGUAUGAAGCAUGUAAAAGUCAUAAUCUUCAAAAUUUAAUGUGCCAUAUUCAAAUAUAAAUAAAUAUAAUAGUUUUACAUGAUUCAAUUGUCUAAGUUAUUUUACCUUUUGAAUAACUUGAAAUUUAAAGCUUACAAGAUAUUCUUUUUUUCAAGUUUAAUGUCAUUUUUGAUUAAUUAGUGCUGUAAUUUUAUGAAAUUUUAGCUAUCUUGUUUAAUAGAUGGAUUCAGGACAAAGCAGAGCAUUGAUAUAUAGCACUAGAAAGCACAAAUGCUUAUCUAAGGUGUAAAUUAUAGAUUUAUGGUCAGUUGGACUUUCAAAUGACUGAUUAAAAUUGUUGAUGCAAUUAGCCUCCAUUUGGGGGGAAAUUGUUUUAUUUUACAACAUUUACCAUAUUUAAGAUAAUUUUAUGUACUAGUUGUUUUAUUUUGUAUUUUCCAAAUGUUUUUCUUGAUUUUCUGAUUGUUGAUCAUAAAAUAAAUGAAAAUAUUUGCUAUGCUUAAAUA